rnacentral:lncRNA from 10 species
GGCCUCCUCACUAGCUUCUGUACCCCUCAAGUCCAGGACCAUGUCAGAUUGUCUUUGAAUCCCUCAGCCCCAGUCCCAGGCCUGCCCUAGAGCAGGUGUUCAGUAAAUGACUAUCGAAUUGUGGAAACAGGGAUCUCUCCAUCCUGGAUUCAAGACAGCGCCCUCCCUAUGAAGCUUUUCUGAGCUCUUUCACACCAAAGUUCUCCCAACCAUCGUGUUGACAGCUAUCUGCCUGCUGCCCUCAGUCCAGGAGCAACUUGGACAUCAGCUCUG